rnacentral:rRNA from 1 species
GACAGAGGAGGCAAGCGCUAUCCGGAAUUAUUGGGCGUAAAGCGUCCGUAGGUGGUUUGACAAGUCUGGGGUUAAAGCCCGGCGCCCAACUCCGGAUCGGCCCUGGAAACUGUCAGACUUGAGUAAGGUAGGGGUUGCGGGAAUUCCCGGUGUAGCGGUGAAAUGCGUAGAUAUCGGGAAGAACACCAGCGGCGAAAGCGCGCAUCUGGGCCAUUACUGACACUGAGGGACGAAAGCUAGGGGAGCGAAUGGG